AACUAUUAACUUUUAAUUUUGUGCAUAGAAUUAGUCUCUUCAUCUCCCCCCAUUUAUUUAAUUUCAAAAUAUCUCCCUCCUUUCAAAAACUUCUUUGUUUGAACUUGUUAUUUUCUAAAUUUUGACCACUUUGCAAAGUAGAAACUUUGGCCUUAUGCCAUUGCAUUUUCAAAUUUCUUUUCUUAAUCAAACUUGUAAAUAGACUUAACUAUACUUGACCUAAACUUCCAAAAUC
rnacentral:lncRNA from 1 species